GGGGUUUUAGCUCAGCUGGGAGAGCACCUGCCUUGCACGCAGGGGGUCAUCGGUUCGAUCCCGAUAAGCUCCA
rfam:Eubacterium sp. 3_1_31 genomic scaffold supercont1.1, whole genome shotgun sequence.